UACAGGGGGUGCAAACGUUGCUCGGAAUUAUUGGGCGUAAAGCGCGCGUAGGCGGCUACUUAAGUCGGAUGUGAAAGCCCUUGGCUCAACUGAGGAAGUGCACCCGAAACUGAGUGGCUAGAGUACGAAAGAGGGUCGCGGAAUUCCCGGUGUAGAGGUGAAAUUCGUAGAUAUCGGGAGGAACACCAGUGGCGAAGGCGGCCCCCUGGACCGGUACUGACGCUGAGGCGCGAAAGCGUGGGUAGCAAACGGG
rnacentral:rRNA from 1 species